CCCAAGGGCUGGGCGAGGUUGAAGGAAGCAGUAACAAGCAGCUGGGGAAGGGCUUAAGCACUUACCAACUUCUGGAGUUUUGAACAAUUCAUGGGGGACGAGGUUACCUGCCAUAAAAAUGCUGGCCUGCUGGAGCGCACCCUUGGCUAAGCGCAUCGAGAAGUCACCUGUUACCCAAGCCCAUGGACAGAGACACAGGUCGUGCUGUCACAGUGUUGAAAUUCAAGAGGAAAUGUCACGGACAUCCAAGAACAGGCCGAGAGGAGGGGAAGUCUCCUUGGACUAGCUCUGGAAGCCUAGAAGGCAACCGGGGACUCAGGAAACUCUCAAGGCAGCCAUCCCCCUCACUCUCUCUCUCUCUCUCCUGCCCUCCUUCUCUUGGUUGGAGAGUUUCUUCCGGACCAUGAUACCCUAGCUACCUGCCAUUCUAGCUGCCUUCAGUUUUCUAAUUCUCCUGAAAAAAAUACGAUUUGCAGAGUUCACCUUUUUGGGCCAGACUGGAAGUCUGGACUGACCACUCUGUGGUCCGGUGUCCGCCAGUGCCGUGGGUGGAGGAGAUGGGGUUCUCUAUAAGGCUGUUUCUUCAGAAAGGGGAUGUGGGCAGUGCAGGGCCUUCCAGAUCACAUAGGGUCACACGCACUCUUUCUUUCUUUUUUUUUAAAGCAGAAAUGAAGUCAUUGCAAUCACUUGUCCCUUCAGAGGUGAAAGCUAGAUUUUACUACAGAUCUACUUACAUGAUGGUACAUUGCCUAUUUGUCGCUUCACACGUGCCCUGAUUUGUGAAUCAGGUUCACCACCGACAUCUGGGGUCUGAGGGCGUGAGA